CGUGGUGCAGUGGUCUGACGUCAGGCUCACACGCCUGAGGCUGGGGGUUCGGCUCCGGUAG
rnacentral:tRNA from 11 species